UCUCGAGAGGUGACAACUAGAUCUUUGCUGUGGCAAAAGCAUCAACUUGCAAUCUAAGACUACAUUGUCUUGCUGGCUGAUUGACAUUCAAGUUGCCAGGGCCAAGAGAACAACAAUCUUGGAUGUUGACUCUAGCAGUGAGUCCAAUUGACUUGCAUAAGAAUGCAAGUUGAAAAAUCAAACAGAAAGGAAAGUUAAGUUCAAAGGCGUUCCUCCACUCCAGUGGUGGGUUGAAGGCAGGGAUAGCAGAGUGGCAUAAAAGAUGACAGUCUGGAACUGGGAGGAUCAAUGCCACUGUCAGUUUGGAGUUUAGUUGCUACAAGGUGCAUUCCCAUUCAUGGCUAGAUACACGACUGUGCGAGGCGAAUACGGCUGCGCUCUUCCACCAUGCCAUACACGAGACUGCACCACAUGGAUUAUUAUGAGAAUGAGUUUGCAGUAAAACCACAGCCAAAGUUUUUGAAUGGGGCCUUGCAACAGACUCACGGAAAGCAACAGGAGUGGCACGAACCAGGGAACGGAGUGGAAGGAGUCGUGGAACAGCAACCAAGCGAGUGAAUCCACCGAUAUCGAACCGGUGAAGUCAAUAAGGAAGGAUGAUGCUCCAUCACAAGAAGGAGCAUGGCUGCCAGAUAAGCGAAACGCAUCAACAAGAAAUGCAGGAGCAGGCUGCAGAUGGCGACGAUGGUGGUGACGGGGUGAGUUUCAAAGGGUGAAGUCAACUUCCCCUGGUAUUUUACUUUGAUGAAGUCGACCAGGAUAGAGACAAUGGAGGUUAAAUCCAUGACGCCAUGAGGGAUGAAGGCAGGGACAUCAUUUGUGGUUCUUUUUAUGGACAGUGGCCCUCAAAAGAAAUUGGGAUCAAAGAUAAUCUCAAAAAUUGUUACAAGGAGUAGAAUAAUUGUUUCUAGUAGCCAUAUGAAGCGUAGAAAUUGUUCUUGAGGUUAAAGCUUCUGACCUCUUUGAAAA